UACAGAGGGGGCAAGCGUUAUUCGGAAUUAUUGGGCGUAAAGGGCGCGUAGGCGGCCUUGCAAGUGACGGGUGAAAGCCCUCGGCUUAACCGAGGAACUGCCUGUCAGACUGUAAGGCUUGAGACCGGGAGAGGUGAGUGGAAUUCCCAGUGUAGCGGUGAAAUGCGUAGAUAUUGGGAGGAACACCAGUGGCGAAGGCGGCUCACUGGACCGGAACUGACGCUGAGGCGCGAAAGCGUGGGGAGCAAACAGG
rnacentral:rRNA from 1 species